UCCCCGAUAGCUCAGUCGGUAGAGCGACGGACUGUUAAUCCGCAGGUCGCUGGUUCGAGCCCAGCUCG
rnacentral:tRNA from 2 species